GUGUCGGCCGCCGCGGUAAUACGUAGGGCGCAAGCGUUGUCCGGAAUUAUUGGGCGUAAAGAGCUCGUAGGCGGUCUGUCACGUCGGCUGUGAAAACCCGAGGCUCAACCUCGGGCCUGCAGUCGAUACGGGCAGACUAGAGUUCGGUAGGGGAGACUGGAAUUCCUGGUGUAGCGGUGAAAUGCGCAGAUAUCAGGAGGAACACCGGUGGCGAAGGCGGGUCUCUGGGCCGAAACUGACGCUGAGGAGCGAAAGCGUGGGGAGCAAACAGGAUUAGAAACCCUCGUAGUCC
rnacentral:rRNA from 1 species